GCCGCCUUAGCUCAGUUGGUAGAGCAUCGCAUUCGUAAUGCGGGGGCCGUAGGUUCGAAUCCUAUAGGCGGCACCA
rnacentral:tRNA from 1 species